rnacentral:rRNA from 1 species
GGACGAAAGUCUGAUGGAGCAAUACCACGUGAACGAUGAAGGUCUUCUGAUUGUAAAGUUCUUUUAUUUAGGAAAAAAAGCGUGCUAGGAAAUGAGCGCGCCUUGAUGGUACUAAUUGAAUAAGUGACAGCUAACUAUGUGCCAGCAGCUGCGGUAAAACAUAGGUCACGAGCAUUAUCCGGAUUUAUUGGGCGUAAAGGAAGCGUAGGCGGGGAGGUUGAUCCAUUGUUAAAAGCAUUUGCUUAACAAAUGUGUGCAUUGGAGAUCGCCUCCCUAGAGUUAAUCAGGGGGUACUGGAAUUCAAUGUGUAGCGGUGGAAUGCGUAGAUAUAUUGAGGAACACCAGAGGCUAAGGCGAGUACCUAGGAUAUAACUGACGCUGAGGCUUGAAAGCGUGGGGAGCAAAUGGGAUUAGAUACCCCAGUAGUCCACGCCGUAAACGAUGAGCAUUGGGCAUUUGACAUCUGGUCGAGUGCUGUAGCUAACGCGUUAAAUGCUCCGCCUGGGUAGUAUAUAUGCAAAUAUGAAACUCAAAGAAAUUGACGGGGACCUGAACAAGUGGUGGAGCAA